AUUGAAAGUUAUGAAAUUAUAAGAUUAAAAUGUUCCUACUAAUAUAUAAAAUACCUAUGAUAUUAUUGUGCCUUUUGGUGAGUGGGAAUGAGGGUUUGGAUAUGAUCCAAACUUCACUAAAAAUGUUAAUAACUAUGUAAGAGUGUGGAGAAUAUUUUUUAUCUAUUUCGCUUUGUACCUAUCCUCUGUAAUGCCAGGUAUGACUAACUAUUUGAUAAAAAUUGAAGACUAACACGAGACUGAGGUUGAACAGGCUAAGUGAGGAGGUGGGCACAAAUAGUGAGAGGAAUAGCCUGACUUUUCCAAGGACUAGGAUUUGGGCUGAUAGGAUGUAUUACUGGGGUGCUGGCUGAGGCAGGGAGAGGAGGCUGAAAUAUGAGGAGAGGUUAAGGAAGGCAGAAAUCUUCAUUUGAAGAAUCAGUGCUGUCUGCAACAAAAGAACCAUUCCAGUGUCUCAAGGCAGCAGCAGGAUGCCAUCUGUUCCAGCAACUCAGGGUAAUUGGAGAAGGACAUUUCCCAGGCAGCUAAAAGUAAAGAACCAGAAAGGAUUCUGCCUUAUGGAAAAGCUCUCUAACACACAGACAGCAGCACAGAGCAAUGGAGAAGAAGAGAUAGAGUGCAAGAGGAUGAAGAAAAGGACCAAGACUAUUUUCAAAUCAUCCACUGCACUACUAGAAAACUCUUCCAAAGGAAUUUGCAUCUUUAAGAUUAGAAUUCCAGAAAAACCAACUCAAGUUUUUAACUGGAUUCAUAUGAAGAUAUCGAAAGCUGAGGAGCCAGAAAGAUGGGGCACAUAAAGAAAAGAAAAUGAUUGAUUUUAGUUUCUUUCUUGAAUAGAUAGCCAUAUCUACCUGUAAAGGCAUAAAAUAAGACACAGAAUCAUGGAUUUGGAACGAAUUUGCAUAGAUUGAUUUCUAAUCAUUUCUUCCAUAAUUGUUUUCACAUAAAAAUAAUCACAUAAGCUUGCCUGAUCAAGUAGUUUUACAUUUACAGAACUGUUUGGUGGGAUGGUAUGGUUGGUUUUGGAGUGAGUAUAACACAUCUAAAUAAACAUGUCAAGAAGUACUUAAAAAGAAUUGAUUUUUUUAAGGGAAUAUAAGCCUUGUCAAGACUAUGAACCUUACAACAAUCAUUUUAUUAAUAAAACUGUUAAGAAAGAAAAUUUAUUCAAAUUUUUUCUUUAUGAUAAUCACUAUGUACCAAAAAUAUUCUCUAUAAAUAUUGUUCUGAAAUCACCAAUGGCAGAUAUGUUUUGAAAUAUGAUUUGUAUUAGGAUAUUCAAUCAACAUCCAAUUGAUUUUCAGUUCCUGAAACUGUGGCUUUAAAUUUGAUCAAUGCAGAGUAUAGGAUCAGUAAUUAAACAGUAGUUUUUUUUUUCAAGUGGAGGUAGUUAAUAUCGUAAAUGGACAGGGAAAAUGUGGCACAUAUACACCAUGGAAUAUUAUGCAGCCAUCAAAAACGAUGAGUUCGCAUCCUUUGUAGGGACAUGGAUAAACCUGGAAACCAUCAUUUUCAGCAAACUGACACAAGAACACAAAAUCAAACACCGCAUGUUCUCACUCAUAGGCGGGUGUUGAACAAUGAGAACACAUGGACACAGGGAGGGGAGCACUACACACUGGGGUCUGUAGGGGGGAAAUAGGGGAGGGACAGUGGUGGGUGGGGAGUUGGGGAGAGAUAGCAUGGGGAGAAAUGCCACAUAUAUGUGAAGGGGAGGAAGGCAGCAAAUCACACUGCCACGUAUGCACCUAUGCAACAAUCUUACAUGUUCUUCACAUGUACCCCAAAACCUAGAAUGCAAUUAAAAAAAAUAGAUUCAGGCUCUAUGUUUUGGUAAAUAAUUAUGGGAACAAAACCAAGCUUUUAAUUACAUUAUUAUUUGGGUCCUUAGUAUGUGGAAUUUAAACAAAAGUAUUAUAUAUAAAACUAUCACAGCAAAGGUGUGUGGCAACCUGAGAAUUACUUUACUAACUUGAGAGACAGCAUCUUCAGAUAUAUUCCUGCCAACUCAUAAGAGAUGUGCAUGGAAAGCAAACAGUUGUGCUGGGCAGAAAAACAAAAUUAGGCAAGAAAUGAGCAAGUCUUCCAACAGAUGGUUUUUCAGAAAUGGCAACAGUAAUCUCUCUAACAUCUCUGUGGCAAAUACAGAAAUUAAAAUUACUUUCAAACUCCAAUAAUGUAGAAACUCAGUACUCAUUUAGCCAAUACUAUGUAUUCUUAUUCCAGUAGCUCAGAAAUACUGGGGAUCAUACCUGGAGUUGUCGUCACCACAGGGUAGGGAUUGCUUUCUUCAUUCUGUGGCUAUCUUGAGAUGUUGGCCUGAAACAUGUUGGCUGUGGUACUAUGAGAAAGGAUUUCAUGGUUCAGUGGUGGUCAAAUUGAUUGAGAGGAAAGACUGAAUUAAUCUGUUAGUGACACACUGAUCCAUAUGCUGUCUGAACCUUGUGUGAGGAAAAUUCAAGAAAGUCUUGGCAAAUCAGCACUGCUGUACUCUGUUGACCACAAGGUGCUGUGGUCUAUAAUCGGAAAAUCAACCAGAGCGUUUGCUCUAAUACACUUAAACAAGAGUAUCCCUAGUAGUCUACACCAUCUUUUUUAGCCUACAAGGAAAAUAUGGGGUGCAGUGGUGAUAUUUCAGAUAGUUUCUGUUACAAACUCCAUGAACUUAACAGUUCAGAACUAAUAUGUCUCAUAGACCAUGUAUUAUGUACCACAUGUACAGAACCAGCUGCAUCCAGUUGAAGUUUGAUGUGAAAAGGAAUACCAUGAGGUACUUAUUUACUUCAAACAGCUUUUUUUCUUUUUUCUUUCUUUCUUUUUUUUUUUUUUUUGGCGGAGCUUUGCCCUUGUUGCCCAGGCUGGAGUAAAAUGUCGUGAACUCGGCUCACUGCAAACUCUGCCUCCCUGGUUCAAGUGAUUCUCCUGCCUCACCCUUCCUAGUAGCUGGGAUUAUAGGCACCUGCCACCAGGCCUGGCUAAUUUUGUAUUUUCAGUAGAGACAAAGUUUCACCAUGUUGGACAGGCUGGUCUCAAACUCCUGACCUCAGGUGAUCUGCUUGGGCCUCCCAAAGUGCUAGGAUUACAGGAGUGAGCCACUACGCCUGGCCCAAACAGCUCUUUUUUUUGAGUGGUGCAACAAAAUCAAUAUGGAGUUUCAAAUUUUACUUACUUUUUAAUGGAUUUUAAUGCAUAAGUAAUGCCAGAGUACAUCUGGAGGAUUUUAUAGCAAAUUCCAGACAUCAGUUAAUCUCAUACAUAAGAACUAUGUUUCUCUAACACAUUUUUAAAAAGCAUAAUUACAAUAAUGUUAAUAUACACAACAUAUUUAACAUUUGUUCCUUAAUAUCAUAUAACACCCAGUCCAUGUCCUAUUGUCCUUUAUUAUCUCAAAAAUAUCUUUUUAUACUUUGCUGGAAUCAGGAUGUUAGCAAGACCCAUACAUUGCAUUUGUUUGCUGUACCUCUUAAAUUUUCUUUCCUUUUUAUUUUCUUGUUAAUCUAUACAUUUUCCCUCUCUUUUCUUCCAUUUAUUUGCUGAAAAUACUGGCUCAUUUGUCUUGUAGAAUUUCCCAAGUUCUUGCUUUGCCUAAUUGUUUCUCUUGGUAUCAUUUAACAUGUUUCUCUUCCUAUAUUCCCUAAAUUUUCUGUAAAUGAAAUUAAAUAGAGGUGCUUGAUUAAAUUGUUUCUUUUUUCCUCCCUGUUUAAAAGUACACUUCAUGAAUAGUGCUGUAUUCUUCUUAUUGCACAACAUAAGAAGGCACAUAUAUCUUACUUUCUCUCUUUGAUGCUAAGUUUGAUGAGUAGGGUCUGAUGGUAUCAGCCUAAUCCCUCUGUUUUAAUUCUCUACAUGUUUUUCACCUAAUGGUUUUAACAGCCGUUGAUGAUUUUUUCUUAAAUCCAUUAUCUCACUAGGGAUUGAAUUCUAACACUGCCAUUUCUUUUGCGUUUAUAAGUUGUGAGUCUUCCAUAAAGGAGUUCUUUCAGUAAUUAUCUGUUUGAUCAACCUGCAAUAUGACUUAUAGGGGAAGACAGUAAUAAU
ensembl:lincRNA